rnacentral:rRNA from 1 species
GACGAACGCUGGCGGCGUGCUUAACACAUGCAAGUCGUACGGUAAGGCCCUUUCGGGGGUACACGAGUGGCGAACGGGUGAGUAACACGUGAGUAACCUGCCCACAACUUUGGGAUAACGCUAGGAAACUGGUGCUAAUACUGGAUAUGUGCUCCUGCUGCAUGGUGGGGGUUGGAAAGCUCCGGCGGUUGUGGAUGGACUCGCGGCCUAUCAGCUUGUUGGUGGGGUAGUGGCCUACCAAGACGGCGACGGGUAGCCGGCCUGAGAGGGUGACCGGCCACAUUGGGACUGAGAUAAGGCACAGAUACCUAAGGGAGGCAGAAGGGGGGAAUAUUGCACAAUGGGCGCAAGCCUGAUGCAGCAACGCCGCGGGCGGGAUGACGGCCUUCGGGUUGUAAACCGCUUUCAGCAGGGACGAAGCUUUUUGUGACGGUACCUGCAGAAGAAGCACCGGCUAACUACGUG